UAAGUUUGUUAUUGGUAUGAGCUUUUGUGUGCAUGCACAUGAAAGCCCAUACCAAUAACAAACUUA